AGUAACACGUGGGCAACCUGCCUUAUAGAGGGGAAUAGCCUUCCGAAAGGAAGAUUAAUACCGCAUAAGAUUGUAGCUUCGCAUGAAGUAGCAAUUAAAGGAGCAAUCCGCUAUAAGAUGGGCCCGCGGCGCAUUAGCUAGUUGGUGAGGUAACGGCUCACCAAGGCGACGAUGCGUAGCCGACCUGAGAGGGUGAUCGGCCACAUUGGGACUGAGACACGGCCCAGACUCCUACGGGAGGCAGCAUG
rnacentral:rRNA from 1 species